GGUACGGUUGCCAAGUGGAAAGGCGGAGGUCUGCAAAACCUCCAUGCGUGGGUUCGAUUCCCACCCGUACCU
rnacentral:tRNA from 1 species